ensembl:lncRNA novel transcript
GGGGGUUGUAGUUCCUCCGCCGGAGCGGGACCUCCGGUGCCCCGGGCCAGGGAUGUGAGAAAGAAGCGAGCCCUCGAGUUUCCUCGGGGCAUGUGGGAAGGUUUUUUUCAGGAUCCAGGCAGAACCUUACAGAGCUGGGAGUUUUUUAACUUUCCAUUCCUGGCAGUGACGCCAGGAGCUUUAAGUGAUGGAAAUAUGCGAGUCAAUCAGUGGAUGGUGAACAAAGGAACAGUAAAUGGAGUAACUUGGCUAGAAUAUGGCAGUAACUACAAGGCAUGUUCUGCUCUGGCACGAAGGUAACCACCACUCAUACCUCUCCAGCCCUGUGAAUACGUCAAUUGACUAAGCAGAUUCCUUGAGGAUAAAGUAGGCUCCUGGGGACCUUGCUUGUUGGGCUACUUGCUUUGUGGAUGUUAAACAGAUAAUUCUCAUGAGUUUGAGUGACGUCUGAUCUACCAGUAUUCCCCCUACUCUGAUUAGAAAUGACUUGACCAUGCCAAAAAGAAUAAAAGACAGCUCUGAUA